GACGAACGCUGGCGGCGUGCUUAACACAUGCAAGUCGAACGGAAAGGCCCUGCUUUUGUGGGGUGCUCGAGUGGCGAACGGGUGAGUAACACGUGAGUAACCUGCCCUUGACUUUGGGAUAACUUCAGGAAACUGGGGCUAAUACCGGAUAGGAGCUCCUGCUGCAUGGUGGGGGUUGGAAAGUUUCGGCGGUUGGGGAUGGACUCGCGGCUUAUCAGCUUGUUGGUGGGGUAGUGGCUUACCAAGGCUUUGACGGGUAGCCGGCCUGAGAGGGUGACCGGCGACAUUGGGACUGAGGGACGGCCCAGACUCCUACGGGAGGCAGCGGUGGGGAAUAUGGCACAAUGGGGGGAAGCCUGAUGCGGCGACGCCGCGUGCGGGAUGACGGCCUUCGGGUUGUAAACCGCUUUCGCCUGUGACGAAGCGUGAGUGACGGUAAUGGGUAAAGAAGCACCGGCUAACUACGUG
rnacentral:rRNA from 1 species